rnacentral:rRNA from 1 species
UCGGAGGGAUCAUUACCGAGUUAUACAACUCAUCAACCCUGUGAACAUACCUAAACGUUGCCUCGGCGGGAACAGACGGCCCCGUGAAAACGGGCCGCCCCCGCCAGAGGACCCCCUAACUCUGUUUCUAUAAUGUUUCUUCUGAGUAAAACAAGCAAAUAAAUUAAAACUUUCAACAACGGAUCUCUUGGCUCUGGCAUCGAUGAAGAACGCAGCGAAAUGCGAUAAGUAAUGUGAAUUGCAGAAUUCAGUGAAUCAUCGAAUCUUUGAACGCACAUUGCGCCCGCCAGUAUUCUGGCGGGCAUGCCUGUUCGAGCGUCAUUACAACCCUCAGGCCCCCGGGCCUGGCGUUGGGGAUCGGCGGAGGCCCUCCGUGGGCACACGCCGUCCCCCAAAUACAGUGGCGGUCCCGCCGCAGCUUCCAUCGCGUAGUAGCUAACACCUCGCGACUGGAGAGCGGCGCGGCCACGCCGUAAAACCCCCAACUCUUCUGAAGUUGACCUCGAAUCAGGUAGGAAUACCCGCUGAACUUAAGCAUAUCAAA